UUAGGGGUGUGCAUUCGAAUCGGUUUAUCGAUAAAUCAAAUCGAUUAUUUUCUUAUCGGUUUAUCGAUAUCGGUUUAUCGGUUUAUCGAUUCGAUUUCGAUUUCAAAAAUUUUCCUUAUCGGUUUAUCGAUUCGAUUUCGAUUUUGGCCAUUCGGUUUAUCGGUUUAUCGAUAAAUCGAUAAGAUAAAUUAAAAAGACAAAU
rnacentral:lncRNA from 1 species